rnacentral:lncRNA from 1 species
AUUAAUUAGAUUAAUUAAUGAUUUGAAAUUAUUAAUUAGAGUUUAAUUAAUCUUAUUCUCAAUUGUUCCAGGGAUAAGGGUGGAACAGCAAUUUCAGACUUAUACCGAAUUACACCAACUUAUUUCAGGUACCUAAGAACUAUUAUUCUCGGAUACGAAAAAUAGUAUUUGGUUAUAAAGGAAAAGAUAAGGGGUUAUUCCCUCUUUAUCU